rnacentral:tRNA from 1 species
GCGGCGGUCGUCUAGCCUGGACUAGGACGCUGGCCCCCCAAGCCGGAGAUCCCGGGUUCAAAUCCCGGCCGCCGCA